UGGGGAAUAUUGGACAAUGGGCGCAAGCCUGAUCCAGCAAUACCGCGUGUGUGAAGAAGGCCUGAGGGUUGUAAAGCACUUUCAAUUGGGAGGAAAACCUGCCGGUCAAUACCCGGCAGCUUGACAUUACCUUUAGAAGAAGCACCGGCUAACUCCGUGCCAGCAGCCGCGGUAAUACGGAGGGUGCGAGCGUUAAUCGGAAUUACUGGGCGUAAAGCGUGCGUAGGCGGUUAUUUAAGUCAGAUGUGAAAGCCCCGGGCUUAACCUGGGAACUGCAUUUGAUACUGGGUAACUAGAGUUUAGUAGAGGAGAGUGGAAUUUCAGGUGUAGCGGUGAAAUGCGUAGAGAUCUGAAGGAACACCAGUGGCGAAGGCGACUCUCUGGACUAAAACUGACGCUGAGGUACGAAAGCGUGGGUAGCAAACAGG
rnacentral:rRNA from 1 species